GGCUGAAAUUGAUACAGCAGUUUCAAAGGAGAAGAUUUUUUAAAGUAAGUCAACAUGAUGAACAAAAUUGUGAAAAAAGUCUUUAAAGGGCAAUAACUCCUUAAGGGGUCAAUUGACAAUUUUGGUCAAAUUGACUUAAUUGAAGAUCUUACUUUGCUGAACAUUAUUGCUGUUUACAGUUUAUUUCUAUCCAUAAUUAUAUUCAAGAUAAUAAACAAAAACAGCAAAAUUUCCUUAAAAUUAUCAAUUCAGGGGCAGCAACCCAACAACAGGUUGUCUGAUUCAUCUGAAAAUUUCAGGGCAGAUAGAUCUUGACCUGAUAAACAAUAUUACCCAACGUCAGAUUUGCUCUAAAUGCUUUGGUUUUUGAGUUAUAAGCCAAAAACUGCAUUUGACCCCUAUGUUCUAUUUUUAGCAAUGGCGACCAUGUUUGUUGAUAGAUCAUAACUUCGGAUACAAUUUACAAACUAGAUACCCUAAGGAACAUUCAGUUAAAGUUUGGAAGUAUUUGGCCCAGUAGUUUCAGAGGAGAAGAUUUUUGUAAAAGAUUACUAAGAUUUACGAAAAAUGGUUAAAAAUUGACUAUAAAGGGCUAUAACUCCUAAAGGGGUCAACUGACCAUUUCCGUCAUGUUGACUUAUUUGUAAAUCUUACUUUGCUGAACAUUAUUGCUGUUUACAGUUUAUCUCUAUCUAUAAUAAUAUUCAAGAUAAUAACCAAAAACAGCAAAAUUUCUUUAAAAUUUACCAAUUCAGGGGCAGUAACCCAACAACAGGUUGUCUGAUUCAUCUGAAAAUUUCAGGGCAGAUAGAUCUUGACCUGAUAAACAAUAUUAUCCCAUGUCAGAUUUGCUCUAAAUGCUUUGGUUUUUGAGUUAGAAGCCAAAAACUGCAUUUGACCCCUAUGUUCUAUUUUUAGCAAUGGCGACCAUGUUUGUUGAUAGAUCACAACUUCUGAUACAAUUUACAAACUAGAUACCCUAAGGAACAUUCAGUUAAAGUUUGGAAGUAUUUGGCCCAGUAGUUUCAGAGGAGAAGAUUUUUGUAAAAGAUUACUAAGAUUUACGAAAAAUGGUUAAAAAUUGACUAUAAAGGGCAAUAACUCCUAAAGGGGUCAACUGACCAUUUCCGUCAUGUUGACUUAUUUGUAAAUCUUACUUUGCUGAACAUUAUUCCUGUUUACAGUUUAUCUCUAUCUAUAAUAAUAUUCAAGAUAAUAACCAAAAACAGCAAAAUUUCCUUAAAAUUACCAAUUCAGGGGCAGCAACCCAACAACAGGUUGUCUGAUUCAUCUGAAAAUUUCAGGGCAGAUAGAUCUUGACCUGAUAAACAAUAUUACCCCAUGUCAGAUUUGCUCUAAAUGCUUUGGUUUUUGAGUUAUAAGCCAAAAACUGCAUUUGACCCCUAUGUUCUAUUUUUUAGCAAUGGCGACCAUGUUUGUUGAUAGAUCAUAACUUCGGAUACAAUUUACAAACUAGAUACCCUAAGGAACAUUCAAUUAAAGUUUGGAAGUAUUUGGCCCAGUAGUUUCAGAGAAGAUUUUUGUAAAAGAUUACCAAGAUUUACGAAAAAUGGUUAAAAAUUGACUAUAAAGGGCAAUAACUCCUAAAGGGGUCAACUGACCAUUUCCGUCAUGUUGACUUAUUUGUAAAUCUUACUUUGCUGAACAUUAUUCCUGUUUACAGUUUAUCUCUAUCUAUA
rnacentral:lncRNA from 1 species